UAAACAUGGAAGGCAGAAACUGAAAAGCUGGUUGGCGGAGAACGCAGGCAGUUCAGCAAGAGCAGAGACCACCACCUACUGGUCCAUUCAAUUAUCACUUGAGUGGCUGCUUUCAAGGACAUUUCCUAUAUGCAAGGCAAUCAGUCACAUUUGAGUUCCCUGAGCUAUUUUCUAUUGAAGCUUGGUCACUGUGGAAAACAGGAGAUGCAUUGAUGAGGGCAUUGGCAUACAUACCCCUUAAUGAUUUUUCUUGCUGUUUUGCCACUGUAAUGCGCUGUACUAGAUGCUAAAGUCGUUCAUUUUUAAUUAAAACUUUCUGCCAUGCCCCACCUGAAUAUUUGGGACCACUGGUGGUCCACAGACCAUACCUUUGGGCAAUACUGGUCUAUAGCAAACCUGAUUCAAAUGAGAUCCAGUUUAGGACUCAAAUGAGAAACAUCCUUUAUGUUCUUACACAUUCCCACAUUCCUGGGAGAAUGCCCAUAAGCCAUGCAUUACAGGAACUAAUACUUGGCUACCUCAUCACAGGGUUGUGAGGAUAAAGUGGGAAUGAAGAGAAACAAGUAUGCCACCUUGAGGUGCUUGGAGGAAAGGUGGGGAUAUAAAUAUAAAUAAAAAUAGUAAUACUUUCCUAAAAAUGCAGGUUUCACUAUUAUUAUAUUAUUGAAUUCAAUAGCAUUUUGUCUUGGCUUUCUUUGAAGGCUGCAGUCAGAGGUUUUGUCAGGUGGAUUUCUAAAUGUCUCUUGGAUGCUAUUCAGGUGGCAGCGCAGACCAAACCUGGAGAGAAAUUGAGAUAUACUGGAAUCUGAGCUUGUCCAUCAUCUCACACCUCCUGCACCAAGCCUCAUCUUCAAUUAUAAUCUCACUCAAAUCCUGUGGUUCAAGUGAACUGCAGACUCUGGAAACACAGACUAGGGAACAAGGAAUGGUACAGGUGCAAGGCUUUUAUGUAUUCAAAGCAGCAAAGAAACAUGAACCAGGCUAUUUCUGUUUGUGACCCUCCCUGUACAUCUGGGUUAGAAAUGCAGGUAGGUUCUCCUUCAAAAGUCCUGUGUAUUAAGGAGCUAGCUUAGCACAGGUGUGGGGAACAUCGGGCAUACAGGUCAGUCUUAUCCAGGGGAUCAUCCAUAGGGCCAUGGAGGUUGGGUACAGAAUCCUGUCAAUAAGUGCUGGCAAAGCAACCCUAUGUAGCUGGUAGCAUUG